rnacentral:rRNA from 1 species
UACGUAGGGGGCUAGCGUUGUCCGGAUUUAUUGGGCGUAAAGAGCGUGUAGGCGGCCAGGUAGGUCUGCUGUGAAAACUCGAGGCUCAACCUCGAGACGUCGGCGGAAACCAUCUGGCUAGAGUCCGGAAGAGGAGAGUGGAAUUCCGUGGUGUAGCGGUGAAAUGCGCAGAUAUCAGGAAGAACACCCGUGGCGAAGGCGGCUCUCUGGGACGGUACUGACGCUGAUGCGCGAAAGCGUGGGGAGCGAUCCGG